AACGAACGUAGCGGCGCGCCUAACACAUGCAAGUCGAACGAGAAGGGGAUUCGUCCCCUGGUAAAGUGGCGCACGGGUGAGUAACACGUAGGUAAUCUGCCCUUUGAGUGGUGGAUAACCCUCCGAAAGAGGGCUAAUACAGCAUGAGACCACGGCUUCGAAAGAAGCUGGGGCAAAAGCGGGCCUCUUCAUGAAAGCCCGCGCUCGAAGAUGAGCCUGCGGCCCAUCAGCAGUUGGCGAGGUAAUGGCUCACCAAGGCUAAGACGGGUAGCUGGUCUGAGAGGAUGAACAGCCACACUGGAACUGAGACACGGUCCAGACUCCUACGGGAGGC
rnacentral:rRNA from 1 species